CCCUUAGAUGUUCUGGGCCGCACGCGCGCUACAAUGGUCUUCGCAAACGGAUGCAUUCUCGAAGGAGAAUGCCAAUCUUGGAAUCUAUGCCUUGGUCGGGACAGUUGCUUGCAAUUUUUCGACUCGAACCAGGAAUUCCUUGUAAUCGUGAUUCAUCACAUCACGAUGAAUACGUCCCUGCCCUUUGUACACACCGCCCGUCGCUCCUACCGAUCGAAGAGUUAGGUGAAUUGUUUUGAUCGAUAAGAUUUGACUACGGUCAACUCUCGUUGUGAAAUUCUGUGAAUCUGACUGUUUAGAGGAAGGAAAAGUCGUAACA
rnacentral:rRNA from 1 species